rnacentral:lncRNA from 1 species
AUACAAUAGUGAAGUUAGAUUUACAAAAAAAAUGCUUUCUUGACCACUUACAAGAGCCAUCAGUCUUUGUAACGAGAUUAGCUCUUGGAUGAAUGAAGGCGAUAGAUUUAGAUUAGGGAUCUUAAAAAUCAAGGGUGAAGAUGUAGCCACCGUUCUACAAGCCUUCACUCAAUUGUAUAAGAGAGGCUUGGUUUUCUAAGCCCUCGCUCUCUCCUCUUUUGAAUGAAGGGCAGAGCCAUGCCAAAAUUUGGCCGAAACCUUAAUCUUAAUUUUAUUUACGUUUUAAUUCUUAUUUUGAACCUUGUGAUUGUGUAUGUACGGAUUUUGCAUUGUGAAGGAUGGUCAUUAAGUUUUAAAAUAUAUUUCAUUGAGGUAGAUAUCUCCUCGACCUUUUAAAUACUCCAAAGAUUUCAAUGACCUUGGAUUUUCUUCAAUCAAUCACUCAGUUUCUUUUGUUUCAAUUUAAGAUUCUCAAUAGUUAUAGAUUUUUUUAUUAGCUUUUAGAUAAGAUAAGAUUCGCUUGAUUCAAAGUAAGAAGGAAGUUUUGGUGAAUUUUUGAGUUUGAGGGAGUCGACUGCCUUUGUAGUUUGAAUCAAUCGAGUUUGGAAAGGCAUUUCUCAAUGCUUGAUAUUUGGCUUUAUUUGAAAUUUUGAAAACAUCUAGUUUUAUAAGCUAAGCUCUGUAAGGCAUAAGUUUUGUCGAAUUUGUAGAUAAUAUGAAUUUUUAGUGAAUUUCUAAGUGAAGAGGUUUGGUCACCACAGUAGUUUGGAUCUCUCAACUUCAAAAGAGGAAUGCUCACGAUUGAAUUAUUAAAUUACAACGAGGAUUAUUGGAUCAAAAGCGUCUUCAAGUUAGCCUUGCAACAAGCUAAGAAUCAUCUAAAUUGAAUUCGAUUACAAAUUUUGGCAAAUUU